UGACAUUGAUGACCCCUAUCCCGAAACUGAUCAUUUAUUGAUGAGACAAAUUUAUCGGAUCUGAUUGCUGAGUU